GCCCUUAGACCUGCUGCCCAGCACUCCUGCAGUUCAUGCCCUCGGACCAUGCCUGCAGGCAUGCCCAUGUCCACCUACCUGAAAAUGCUCGCAGCCAGCCUCCUGGCCAUGUGCGCAGGGACAGAAGUGGUACACAGGUACUAUCAACUGGACCUGCCCAUACCUGAAAUUUCACCAAAGCCUGGAGAGCUCAAAACGGAGCUUUUGGAACUGAAAGAAAGAAAACACAAAACUCAAGUUUCUCACCAGAAGGAACUUAAAUAAUUAUGCCAAGAAUUCUGCAAAUAAUAUUAUAAGUCUUAAAUAUGUAUUUCUUAACUUAAUGCAUCAAACUACUUGUCCUUAAGCACUUAGUCUAAUGCUAACUGCAAGUGGAGAUGUUCAGUGGACGUUUAGCUGAUACCUUGAAAUUUAAUCACUGUUUAACUGAUAUUUCUUGAAAACUGGCAAAGCACAUAUCAGCUUCAUGAAUAUGGUUUGGAAGAUGUUUAGUCUUGAAUAUAAUGUGAAAUAGAAUACUUUUAAGUC